GAAAGUAAAGUAAAUGGUUACCAAUGUGCUUUCAAUGGAAUCCAAUCCAAUUCCAUAGGUAUAACAAUGUGAAUCACGUCAACAAAAGAAUACUGGUCAUACCAAAGAAAGUCACGUGGAGGUUGAAGUCGAUUCAUUCUAUAUGAGCAGACAACCAUGUAGUUCGAGUGGUGGAGGUAAAUCAUUUAUGUAAUGUCACUAAAUUAUUAGUAAGUUUAUGUUUUGGUCAUUGAAUCAUUCAAAAGUUUUCAUUUAAGUCACUGAACUAUUAAAAUAGUUAUUGUAUGGCCUUCUCUAUUGGCACUAUCUGCACCAAUCUAAAACUCUUAUUCUCUUUCUUUUCUAUAAUUUGUUUUUAUGAAAUUGCUUUGAAUGUUAAGAACUUGCGUACCAAAGUCCAAACACCUUUCUUCUUUGAUCUUUGAUACUGACCGCCAAAUCGACUUGGAUCUAAGGUAUGUUAUUAGACUCGUUGAUGGGUACUGAUUGUGACAGCUCUAAUUUGACCCUAGUCGGAAAGUGGUUUCGGGACCAUAAAACCGAGUCACAAAAAUAAUUGAUUGUUAUAUUCUAUGCUUAUUGUAUGUGUACAUGCAUGUGUGAAAGUUUCAUGCUUUAAUUUUGUCAUUUGUAUGUGAAAUUUAUUAAAUAGGACUUAUGUGUGACAUUUUUAAAAUGUGAUAGGUUAAUUUUAAAAUGGUCUAUUAAUGCAUAUAAUAAAAAAGGUGGACUUGCAUGUCAAUUUCCCCACUUUGAUAGUAGUGGCCGGCCAUGGUAAUGAUGAUAAGCAAUAUGUGUUAUGUAAUAAUAUUAAAAUAUGGUAAUGGCUUAAUUUAUGUAAUAAAAAAAUGUGUUAAAUUAAUUAAAUGAAUAAAACAAAGAAAAGAAAUAAAAUGUUCAUCUUUUGAUAUCUUUGGUCGAAAAUUCUAAGAAGAGAAGGGAGGGGGAAACAAGUAUUCGGCUACUCCUUUCUAGUCUUGAUUAAGGUAUGAAAUCCAUGUUAGUUUUUGAAUUCUUUUGCAUAUAUUAAGCUAGUUACUAAGUCCCUUACUUGCCCAUGUCAAAAUUUUGAGUUUGGUAGUAAAAUGAAUAUUCGGUUAUGGAAGAUGUUUAAGGGGAUGUUUGUUGCCUUUAUGAAUUAAGGAAUAAUUAGGAAUAGGUGAUGUUGGAACUAAUUUAAUGUUCAUAUAGAUAAUUUUGAAUGAUAGAAAAAAAUCGGCUUGUGCAUUGGUGAAAAUGCAGAAUGUGAGCAUUUAUAAUAGUUGAGUUAUGCUUGUGUUUAAAGUGAUGGAUUGGAGUGGAUGCCUAUAUGUGUUGUGAAUAAUUACUAGUAAAUUAAGGUUUUCUAGAUUACCUAUGUCAUUGCCGAAUGUGUGGAUAGUUGAAGAAAAAUUUGUUAAAAUGCUUAGUAGAUGGAUAUUCGGGUAAUGUUGUGUUUAAAUGAGCACGAUGUGUUGUAUUGAUAUUAUGCUUAAGUGAAAUUAUAGAAAUAUAUAUGAUGAAAUUGAUUUGGUGAUAUACAUGUUUAAAUAAUAUGUAUACAAAGAAUGUGUGAAAGAGUAAAUUGGUAAUAAUCUCCUUGGGACAGCAGCAGUAAAGUGAUUUUGGAAAAUCACUAUAAAUUGUGGGAGUUGAGUUAGAAGCUGAAUAAAUUAUGUAAUUAAAUCUUGAUGAGUCUAGUUUCUUAUAAAAGAAACUAUAAAAGCAAAAGCAUUGCCGAUAAUGAGAUAAUUGAAGUAAUGUGGGACAGAGUCAAAAUGACUUCUAGAUCCCCUCUUCUGUUUUUAUAAAAUCACUAUAAAACGUAUAAAAAUAGUCAAAUGAUGAAAUUUAUAUGCUUAGACUCCUUAAUGAGUCUAGUUUCAAAUUAAAUAAACAAGGACAUGUUUUGAAUUCUGUAUAAUGAGAAAUUUAUUUCGUAGUGAAGAAUGGUCAGAUUAGUCAAACAGUGAAACAAGGGAAACUUUAGGAAAAAUCUGGUAUUGAUUGGCUAAACUAAAAAUUAUGAAAAUUUUAUGGAUAAAAGACAAAUGAGUCUAUUUUCAAGGAAAAUUCACGGCAAUUGAUUUGGAGUUUCAUAGCUCUAGUUAUAAAUAAUUUAGUGACUGUUGCUUAGGAAGUCAGCUUAUAGUGAAAUUGUGAUUAUAUUGUAAACAUUGAUAAAAAUUUGCUAAUGAAUUGCUUAUUGAUUUCUUAUAAGCUUACUAUAAUCUGUAUGUGUGAAAGUUGAAUAUAUAUGUAUUAUAUUUUGAAAAUAAUAUUUGAAUAGUCGAUUAAUGAUUAGUUUAAAAUUUGUUGAAUUAAAGCUCAAGAGCAUAGGGGGGCAAUUUCGAAUAAGGGAAAAGAGAAAGUAACCGAGUAGCCAUUUCGCAACCGUUCAAAUAUAUCCGAGGUAAGUUUUAAGUAGUUUCCUUUAGUAUAUAAUUGACAAUGCCACUAUAAGAGUAUAGUAGGUAAAUUGUGAUCUUUGGCUUGCACUUGAAUUAAGAUGUAUAAUAGAUAAUGCAUGUAUAUGACUUAUAGUUUGAUGGCCACUUUGAAUUUAAGAUUAAAUGAUGAAUAGAAUGAGUGAUAUGAGAUAUAACCACUGAGCUGAAAUGUGAAUGAUGAUGUGCGUAUCGAGUUUAUAUUCGAAUGUAAUAAACGACUAUUAAGUGAUAAGGUGACUGUCAUGUGUUAUGAUCAAAUGUGUAUGAGAUUGAAAAUAUCCGGACAUGAGGUCCGCAGGUUAUAUGCUGGAAAAAUAUCCGAACAUGAGAUCCGCAGGCUAUAUGCUAGAGAUAUAUCCGGACUUGAGGUCCGCAGGCUACGUGCUGGAAAAAUAUCCAGGUUAAAGACCCGCAGGCUUACGCUAGUAAUGUAUUCCGAGCUCUAAGAUUUGACAGAACCGAUGCCAGUAAGUUAAAUAAGAUUUCGACUUCGAAUAUCAGUGGUAAACAUCGUUGUGUAAGUAUUAUAUGUUUUACAUGUUAAGGUUCGUGUUAUGUGCUUAUAUUUGAAUUGAUUUUUUUUAAGUGAUUUAAUAGUAUCAAGGCACGAAAUAUAUAUAUGUGUGUGUGAAUGAAUUCGGUAUUUGAGGAUAAGACAAUAAUAUAAUUGGUUAAUUUAAGUCACCAUAUGAAAGAAUGUGAUUAAAGGUAUUAGUAUAAUCUAUGUAAAUAAUGAAAUAUGUGCAAGAAGUCUUGUGUAUACAUACAUACAUAUUCGGCCAAGGGGUUUUGUAACUAAUGUACUGGUGUAUAUUCGGCCAAGUGAAUUACAAUUAGAAUACAAGUUUUGUGAUACUCAGUGUUCAAUUUUAAUGAUAAGCCUUAAUAGUAUAAAUUGCUUAAAACUUACUAAGCCUCGAAAGCUUACUCUGUUUCUUAUUUCUUUGUUUUAUAGAUUGUUGAUUUUGGCUAUCGACUCGGGGAUCGUCAGCAGUUCUUCAUACUAUUGAUCUUUUUGGUACAGUUAUAUUUUGGACUCGAUAUGGCAUGUAUAGGUUGGACUGUUGACAAAAAUAUGUUUUGAAAUUGUAAAUAUCUUGGCCGUAUGAAAAUGGCACUUAUGAAUUAUAAAUCUGUAUGUAUUCAGUUCGAUUUAUACUUGUGUUGGUAGAUUAUGUGAUUGAAAUUAAAUGUUUAGCUUGGUAAUA
rnacentral:lncRNA from 1 species